CCUACGGGGGGCAGCAGUGAGGAAUAUUGGGCAAUGGGCGAGAGCCUGAACCAGCCAAGUCGCGUGAAGGAUGAAGGAUCUAUGGUUGUUAAACUUCUUGUAUAUGGGAAUAAAGUGAGGAACGUGUUCCUUUUUGUACGUACCAUAUGAAUAAGCCUCGGCGAACUCCGUACCAGCAGCCGCGGUAAUACGGAGGAUGCGAGCGUUAUCCGGAUUUAUUGGGUUUAAAGGGUGCGUAGGUGGUUAAUUAAGUCAGCGGGGAAAGUUUGUGGCUCAACCAUAAAGUUGCCGUUGAAACUGGUUGACUUGAGUGUAUUUGAGGUAGGCGGAAUGCGUGGUGUAGCGGUGAAAUGCAUAGAUAUCACGCAGAACUCCGAUUGCGAAGGCGGCUUACUAAACUAUAACUGACACUGAGGCACGAAAGCGUGGGGAUCAAACAGGAUUAGAUACCCCUGUAGUC
rnacentral:rRNA from 1 species